CUGCACCUAAUCGCAGCUGCUGUCAGCUCUCUUGCAGUUGUGUGCUUGUGGGAGCCUCGCCCUUGUUGUUUUACAGCAGUCAGCCUUCUCUGCACAUCUGGUGCUGAAGUGGGACUUUUGGAGAGACUCAAGUCCUGGCCUGUUGCUCAAGCAGCUUCCAACCUGCAGAAGACAAAUGUGUAGUAACAGUUGUCUGGCAGCUUCUAGUGCUGCAGCAGAGGAAGGAUGCUCUGCUAAACUGUGAAGGAGCAAAAAGAAAAAGGUGCAUAACAGGACCGCUACCAACACUCCUAGUGCUAGACUGCUUUGAGGGUUUUGCCAAAAAGUGCCAAUUCAUCUUCAUCUUCUGGUGGACACCAUCACUGAUUCCCAAGAGAGCCUGUAGGUCUGAACUGCAGUGAGGGGGAGAGUUCCUCUAAAAUAACCAGGGGCAUACAAGAAGGAUCUCGUCGCCAUGCAGAAGCCUUGGAGCACCUCCUGAAUAACAGAUGGCUGCAGAAACCCUGGCAGACAAGCAGCCCAACACUGCUGUAGUGGGAUCAGCAUCUUCCACUCCUGAAUCUGGUGCCUUUCCUGUUUCCAUCCACCACAAGUGUGCGCUCUCCCCAGGAUCCGCCCUGGAUUCUCAUGUGCAGGAUGAGCAGAGCUGAAGUGUCUGGUGCCAUCGGGUGUGCCUCGAAGCAGAAGCGGGAUGAUCUGAGGAGGCAGGAUCUUUGGAAGGCAAAGAGAAGCAAGCUGUGCUUACACUGACCAGACAAAUGCAGAAAGGGCUCCAGGCUGAAAGCACAGAAACAAGCAGCUGUGCUGGAUAAAAAUUGUCGGAUAGCCUCCGUGUUCGGCUCAGCCAUGAGCAUUGCACACAGGGAGCAGCGUCCUCUCCCCACAGCCAUGUGUCCCACUUGGCUAAGACAAGAAACAAGGAUCUGUUCCUCAUCUGUCUUCCUACCCUAAAUGAAGGCAGAAUAUUGAUAAUGUUUGUGAUGACUUGAAUAAACAUCUUUUACUCAUCCGUUAAUGACAUGGGUCUCAUUGGCUUUCUUAGGUAGUCUACUGUUUCUACUAGGUUUUGCUGUGAUUUAUUCUGAUGUAUUUAAUAAAGGCAUUUUUCUAAUUGCUUUUGCAUUACUUCAUCGGUAAUAAUUGAUAAAGGUCAGUACAAAUUUGAACCUCUGCUAUGCACAUAAUGAGAUGUCCUCUCGUAAGGUGUAAGAAUAACCACAAUAAAUAUUAAUUUAACUCUCUUAGCUCAAGGCCUCAGAGUCACAGAUAUUCCUAAUUCAGUGGUCCUGACGGACAGGCUGCAGGGAGCAGGGCUGCCCUCUGUCUGUCUGCUGCUUGAGAUGACUGCUCGCUCCUUGGGGGCACUUUGCUCCUGACUGUCUCGGAUGCGCAAAACAGCAUGAGACAGGUAAUGCUCAGCUGUCUUCCACCUUUCCUGGGUACUAUCAUCUUUGUUCUGAUAGCACAUUUCACUGUCCUUGACGUGUUGUUAAACAGCUGCUGCUUCAAUCUGAGUGUCCAGCAAAGCGCUUCUGAUAAAGCGGGGAGGUUGGAGUGGGAUCACAGCGCCAGCUCUGUCCAGAGCAGCCCCAGACAAAAAAAAAAAAAA